rnacentral:antisense_RNA from 1 species
CAUCAGGGCAGGUUAUGGCAGGGAGGCCUUUGGCCUGCUGGCUCCUACUCGCCUGUCUUCCAACCCUGCCAUAUGCCUGCCCAUCUU